rnacentral:rRNA from 1 species
GAGUGGCGAACGGGUGAGUAACACGUGGGUAACCUGCCCAUCAGAAGGGGAUAACACUUGGAAACAGGUGCUAAUACCGUAUAACAAUCGAAACCGCAUGGUUUUGAUUUGAAAGGCGCUUUCGGGUGUCGCUGAUGGAUGGACCCGCGGUGCAUUAGCUAGUUGGUGAGGUAACGGCUCACCAAGGCCACGAUGCAUAGCCGACCUGAGAGGGUGAUCGGCCACAUUGGGACUGAGACACGGUCCAAACCUCUACGGGAGGCAGCAGUAGGGAAUCUUCGGCAAUGGACGAAAGUCUGACCGAGCAACGCCGCGUGAGUGAAGAAGGUUUUCGGAUCGUAAAACUCUGUUGUUAGAGAAGAACAAGGAUGAGAGUAACUGUUCAUCCCUUGACGGUAUCUAACCAGAAAGCCACGGCUAACUACGUGCCAGCAGCCGCGGUAAUACGUAGGUGGCAAGCGUUGUCCGGAUUUAUUGGGCGUAAAGCGAGCGCAGGCGGUUUCUUAAGUCUGAUGUGAAAGCCCCCGGCUCAACCGGGGAGGGUCAUUGGAAACUGGGAGACUUGAGUGCAGAAGAGGAGAGUGGAAUUCCAUGUGUAGCGGUGAAAUGCGUAGAUAUAUGGAGGAACACCAGUGGCGAAGGCGGCUCUCUGGUCUGUAACUGACGCUGAGGCUCGAAAGCGUGGGGAGCAAACAGGAUUAGAUACCCUGGUAGUCCACGCCGUAAACGAUGAGUGCUAAGUGUUGGAGGGUUUCCGCCCUUCAGUGCUGCAGCUAACGCAUUAAGCACUCCGCCUGGGGAGUACGACCGCAAGGUUGAAACUCAAAGGAAUUGACGGGGGCCCGCACAAGCGGUGGAGCAUGUGGUUUAAUUCGAAGCAACGCGAAGAACCUUACCAGGUCUUGACAUCCUUUGACCACUCUAGAGAUAGAGCUUCCCCUUCGGGGGCAAAGUGACAGGUGGUGCAUGGUUGUCGUCAGCUCGUGUCGUGAGAUGUUGGGUUAAGUCCCGCAACGAGCGCAACCCUUAUUGUUAGUUGCCAUCAUUUAGUUGGGCACUCUAGCAAGACUGCCGGUGACAAACCGGAGGAAGGUGGGGAUGACGUCAAAUCAUCAUGCCCCUUAUGACCUGGGCUACACACGUGCUACAAUGGGAAGUACAACGAGUCGCGAAGUCGCGAGGCUAAGCUAAUCUCUUAAAGCUUCUCUCAGUUCGGAUUGUAGGCUGCAACUCGCCUACAUGAAGCCGGAAUCGCUAGUAAUCGCGGAUCAGCACGCCGCGGUGAAUACGUUCCCGGGCCUUGUACACACCGCCCGUCACACCACGAGAGUUUGUAACACCCGAAGUCGGUGAGGUAACCUUUUGGAGCCAGCCGCCUAAGG